UUUAUUUUAUGUAUGUUGCAGGUUGAGUAAUUUUUGUUGGGAUUGCUUAAAUUACAGGGGAGACUCUGCCAAAAUUUUGGUAGAAAAUCUCGAUUUCUUAAUAAAUGGGCCCGACAUCGGGAUGAUGUCGGAAUAAAGAUGGGGUCCGCUUCGGUCUCCGGGGAAUUCCGGAGCUGGUCCUGUCAGAAAUUUUGAAAAUUAAGUGAGAAUAUAAUUGGUAAAAAAAAUGAAUUCCUAAUAGGUUAGUUCUCUAGGAAUUAGAAUACAACAUCCUACCCAAGAAUUGAAUUCCUUCAAAAUCAGGAAUUUAAUUCCUAAUUUUGUGUGGGCCCCAUUUACUUUUCAAUUCCUUGAUGUGAAGUAAACGCAUGAAUCAUCUACAAGUGGAAUUCAAUUUCUGAUGAGAAUUCCAACUCCUGAUUAGUAAACACAUCGUAGAAGGAAUUGAAUUGAUGAGGAGUUUGAUUGAGGAAAAUAAGAUUUUGGAUUCCUAUUGAAGUUGUUUACUAAACCAUAUGGGUUGAGGAGAGUUGGAUUAUAGAUUCCUAUUAAGUCGUUUACUAAAUCAUAUGGAAUUGGGGUAGGAGUAGUGCUAAUUACUAAAAUGUCCUCGUUGUUGGGUUAAAGUAGAUGGCAAAGUUGGAAUUUUUAAAAUUGUGUGAGGAUAUAAUGGGUAAAAAAAAAGAAUUACUAAUGGGUUAUUUCUCUAGGAAUUAAAAUACCACAUCCCACCCAAGAAUUGAAUUCCUCCAAAAUAGGAAUUCAAUUAUAAUUUUGUGUAGGUCCUACUUACUUUUAAUUUCUUGAUGUGAAGUAAACAUAGGAAUCCUCCAUACACGGAAAUCAAUUCCUGAUUAGUAAACACACCAUAAAUCAAGUUAGUUAUCAAAUCUAAUGCAGUCCUAGACACCAAACAAACAUGAAACAGUGACUCUCUUCUCCCUCCUCCCUCCUCCAUCUCUAUAGCCUCUCUCUUCUAUCUAUCUUUUCUUUGUGUGUGUGUGUGUGCGACAAGGCUAGCCUUUUGAUUUUGGAGGUCCCAUGCAAAGAGAGAUGUUGAUGCCCCUAUGUAUACAAGUAAAAAAUAAAAAAUAAAAAAUAAAAAAAAAACUUAUAAGCCAUAAAUAGGGAUUCACCUUUUUUUUCUAGGCUCUUGCAAUCGUGCAUUUAAAUUCCAAGUUUUGUAUACAAUAUCUAACUUAGUGUUUGGGCCAAAAUUCUGCACGCAUGCCCAUUUUUGUCGAGAGGCCCAUAAACAAAAUAUUUGGGCUUGUUAUCUAAAGGAAUUGGAAGUCAAAAAACCAAGAUGCUGAACAACCCCAGACCUUUUUGAACAAAUUAC
rnacentral:lncRNA from 1 species